UACGUAGGGGGCAAGCGUUGUCCGGAAUCAUUGGGCGUAAAGCGCGUGUAGGCGGUUCUGUAAGUCUGCUGUGAAAGUCCAGGGCUCAACCCUGGGAUGCCGGUGGAUACUGCAGGGCUAGAGUACGGAAGAGGCGAGUGGAAUUCCUGGUGUAGCGGUGGAAUGCGCAGAUAUCAGGAAGAACACCCGUGGCGAAGGCGGCUCUCUGGAACGCAACUGACGCUGAGACGCGAAAGCGUGGGGAGCAAACAGG
rnacentral:rRNA from 1 species